rnacentral:rRNA from 1 species
GGGAUUGCCUCAGUAACGGCGAGUGAAGCGGCAAAAGCUCAAAUUUGAAAUCUAGCACUUUCAGUGUUCGAGUUGUAAUUUGAAGAAGGUAACUUUGGUUUUGGCUCUUGUCUAUGUUCCUUGGAACAGGACGUCACAGAGGGUGAGAAUCCCGUGCGAUGAGAUGCCCAAUUCCAUGUAAAGUGCUUUCGAAGAGUCGAGUUGUUUGGGAAUGCAGCUCUAAGUGGGUGGUAAAUUCCAUCUAAAGCUAAAUAUUGGCGAGAGACCGAUAGCGAACAAGUACAGUGAUGGAAAGAUGAAAAGAACUUUGAAAAGAGAGUGAAAAAGUACGUGAAAUUGUUGAAAGGGAAGGGCUUGAGAUCAGACUUGGUAUUUUGCGUUCCCUUCCUUUUUGGUUGGGUUCCUCGCAGUUUACUGGGCCAGCAUCGGUUUGGAUGGUAGGAUAAUGACAUUGGAAUGUAGCUUUACUUCGGUGAAGUGUUAUAGACUUUGUUGAUACUGCCUAUCUAGACCGAGGACUGCGUCUUUGACUAGGAUGCUGGCGUAA